GGGCUUUUGAUCUGGCACAGCAUAUUUGCUUUUUCUAAGGAUCCGUCUCCGUUUUGGCAUUUCCUUUUCCGUUUUUUUCCAUCUUAAAGUUAUCUUGUGAUUUGGGAAAAGAGAUGUCAAAACAAGGGGCUUUUGAUCUGGCAUUUGGGGUUGGAGGAAGAAUUGGCAAGGAUGAAGUUCUCUCUGCUGUUGACAAAUAUGAGAAGUACCAUGGUUAUUAUGGAGGUGAAGAAGACGAGAGAAAGAAUAACUACACUGACAUGGUAAACAAAUACUAUGAUCUUUGCACCAGCUUCUAUGAAUACGGAUGGGGAGAGUCCUUCCAUUUUGCGCCCAGAUGGAAAGAAGAAUCACUCCAGGAAAGCAUUAAGAGGCAUGAGCACUUCCUUGCCUUGCAACUGGGAUUGAAACCAGGACAAAAGGUCUUGGAUGUAGGAUGUGGAAUUGGAGGGCCGUUAAGAGAAAUUGCUCGAUUCAGCUCUACAUCAGUUACAGGCCUCAACAACAAUGAAUAUCAGAUAUCUCGAGGACAGGUGUUGAACCGCAAAGUGGGAUUGGAUCAAACUUGCAACUUUGUAAAGGGUGAUUUCAUGAAAAUGCCAUUCCCUGACAAUAGCUUUGAUGCAGUAUAUGCAAUAGAAGCUACCUGCCAUGCACCAGAUCCGGUUGGAUGCUAUAGAGAGAUCUAUAGGGUGCUGAAGCCUGGUCAGUGCUUUGCUGUGUAUGAGUGGUGCAUGACUGAUGCAUACAAUCCAAAUAAUGAAGAGCAGAAAAGAAUCAAGGAAGAAAUUGAGCUCGGAAAUGGUCUCCCGGAGAUUAGAUCAACACAACAGUGCCUAGAAGCAGCGAGAAAAGCUGGUUUUGAAGUUGUGUGGGAUAAGGAUCUCGCUGAAGACUCACCAGUUUCAUGGUACAUGCCUUUAGAUACAAGUCACUUCUCACUCAGUAGCUUCCGCCUAACAGCAGUUGGCAGACUUUUCACCAGAAAUCUGGUUUCGGCACUUGAAUAUGUGGGUGUAGCUCCUAAAGGUAGUCAAAGGGUUCAAGCUUUCUUAGAAAAAGCCGCAGAAGGUCUUGUUGGUGGUGCCAAGAAAGGGAUCUUCACACCGAUGUAUUUCUUCUUGGUUCGCAAGCCAAUUUCAGACUCACAGUAAUAUUUGACUUAGCUCUUCAUUGCUUUAGUUAGCAAAUCUUUGAGAUUCUUGGCCUUGAACUUAUAUGGCCAGGCUAAUCAAAGGUUAUUUCGAUUUUCGUUUAGGGAUUGGGGGCUAUUUGUUUUUCUUGCAUUGCUUGUUUGUCACCAUUUUUGCCAUUUAUUGUUCUUCUCAACUCCUAAUUGUUUGCUAUUUUGCCAUUGAAUUGAUUGUUGUCCUGGAAAAUAUGUUGUUGAUAAAGGUCAGCAUUUUGCUAAAUAUAUGACUAAUGACAUU
rnacentral:misc_RNA from 1 species